AGCCUUAAGUUUCGUUUAAGGUGAAUCCUGCCCGGUGAAUUUUUUAACGGCCGCAGUACCCUGACUGUGCAAAGGUAGCGUAAUCAGUUGGCUUUUAAUUGGAGUCGAGAAUGAAGGGAUAAAUGGGGAUUAACUGUCUCUCACUUAAUUAAUUGAAUUUACUAAUAGGGUGAAAAUUCCCUAAAUUUAGAAAAAAGACGAGAAGACCCUUAGAGUUUUUAAAUAUAAAUACUGUUUGUAUUAUCUUUUUUGUUGGGGCGACAAGGGGACAGGUUGAACUUCUCUUUAACUAGAAAUAAUCUGACGAUUUUUUUAAGAAAAAUUAAACUACCUUAGGGAUAACAGCAUAAUGUUUUAUUAAGCUUGUGACCUCGAUGUUGGACUAGGAACUAUAUGACUAGCCGUCAAAAUAGUGUGUUCUGUUCGAACUUUAUCUCCUACAU
rnacentral:rRNA from 1 species